AUGGCGAUCUAGCAGGACGCAGCUGCAGGAGCUCCUUGCUUUCAUCUGAUAAGAGGCCAGUUAUACUAAGCAAAGUCAACUUGAGAGCAAGUGGUCACUGGCAGUUCACUUUCCUAUCUCAAAAGCUAGAGCCUAUCUUCUUCUGAACAAGUGAAGAGGUUGUGCAUGUCAGUGAGGAGAGCUGAACCCUUUCCCUCAUAUCACCUGCUUUAUCUCUGAAGUACUCCAGAAAUGAGCCAAGCUGGGGAGAAAAGAGCUGAGCUUCAAGUGACAGAGCAUUGCAAAGGACAAUAGUUGCCAUGGGACUGCAGAAGAAAGGAGAAAGGACACUCUAGCUCUGUUCAUCUACCAAAGGAAGAAGAGCCAUCAACUGCUAUUCAAGCAAGAACACCAGCAAGGAAAGAUCAGCAUGGUCUGAACUGGAUAUAAAUGUCCUCUUAUAGCUCAUUGCUUUGUUCUAGCCUUGAAGAACUAACCUCCCUCCUUUACCUUUUCCCACCCCUGCUUCCUCAUGUGUCUUGUCUUUUUCAUUUGUGAGCCUGAUAGCAGGGCUUCUCUCUCUCUCUCCUCUCUUUUAUUGAUGUGAGCCAGUUUGGGAGGCAAUAUGCAGGGCCACCAUCAGCUUUUCUGAGAAUCCAGUCUUUUCUCUCCAUCGCCUGGCAGCAGCCAUUACAUCAGACUGUGGCAGAGGAGAAAAGAAAGGCACAGCUGAGAGACCAGGAACUUUUGACACCUCCUUUCUUUGAUGUUUUCCAUCCCAGGUGGUCUUAGAAGAACUUGUAACUAAGAACUUGUACCUGCAUUUGCGUAUUUUCUUUUGUGUCAUUUUUUUUUUAGAUUAUAAGCCUGAGGUCUGGGACUGUCUUCUUGUUAGUGAUCUAUAAGCCACCCUGGGAGCUUCUUUUGGCAGAAAAGUGGGACUUAAAAUGCUUUAAUUAAUUAAUUAAUUAAUUAGCUGCUAUUGGACAUCUAGGCCUAGUUUAAGACAUAAAGACAUAGAGUGAUAUCUAAGUGAAGUUAUUCUCAGAGGAGACCCAUUGAAAUUAAUAGACUUAAGUUAUUUAAAUCUAUUGAUUUUAAGAGGUCUGAGUAUGACUAAUAUUGGGUAUCACUCAUAGUAUAAUUACAAAAGGUUCUUAAUCUGCAGUGUUAAACUAGGUUCACAGUUUGCAUGCUGGAAAACGUACCAGUGAGUUAAACACUGGUUGAACUGUCAGCCUUGCCCCUCCCCCAAUUCUUCAUGUAGUCUAUCCAUUUUUCUUUUCAAGUAGCACAUGCAUUUAUUUGUUUGUGUAUUCAUUCUGUGUGCAUGUGUGUGUGUGUGUAAAAACAGAAAAAUUAAAAACAAUUGCAAAUUUGCUGUAGGGAUUGUGGAAAAGGUGUGUUGGUGACAUCACAGGUACUACCCACACAGCAUCUCCACAGCCAUCUUGGUUUAAACUGAACCAGAUUUGCAGAACACGCCUUCAGAGAUUAUCCCAGUAAAGAAAGGGAUACCUCAGUACUGAACUCGGUGAGAUCAUUUCCAAACUAGCUCUAAUGCUCACAAAAUGUUAUACCUCUCUCCAACCUUUAUGGGCCAGCAAACAAAAAUGCACACCCUUCCCCUACACAUAUUAUACUGCAGAAAAUGUUUGUACAUUUGUUUGUACAAAUGUUUGCAAAUUUUGCAUGAUGCUCA